rnacentral:rRNA from 1 species
CUCAGGACGAACGCUGGCGGCGUGCCUAAUACAUGCAAGUCGAGCGAAUCGAUGGGAGCUUGCUCCCUGAGAUUAGCGGCGGACGGGUGAGUAACACGUGGGCAACCUGCCUAUAAGACUGGGAUAACUUCGGGAAACCGGAGCUAAUACCGGAUACGUUCUUUUCUCGCAUGAGAGAAGAUGGAAAGACGGUUUACGCUGUCACUUAUAGAUGGGCCCGCGGCGCAUUAGCUAGUUGGUGAGGUAAUGGCUCACCAAGGCGACGAUGCGUAGCCGACCUGAGAGGGUGAUCGGCCACACUGGGACUGAGACACGGCCCAGACUCCUACGGGAGGCAGCAGUAGGGAAUCUUCCGCAAUGGACGAAAGUCUGACGGAGCAACGCCGCGUGAACGAAGAAGGCCUUCGGGUCGUAAAGUUCUGUUGUUAGGGAAGAACAAGUACCAGAGUAACUGCUGGUACCUUGACGGUACCUAACCAGAAAGCCACGGCUAACUACGUGCCAGCAGCCGCGGUAAUACGUAGGUGGCAAGCGUUGUCCGGAAUUAUUGGGCGUAAAGCGCGCGCAGGUGGUUCCUUAAGUCUGAUGUGAAAGCCCACGGCUCAACCGUGGAGGGUCAUUGGAAACUGGGGAACUUGAGUGCAGAAGAGGAAAGUGGAAUUCCAAGUGUAGCGGUGAAAUGCGUAGAGAU